rnacentral:rRNA from 1 species
GACAGAGGUGCCGAGCGUUAGGCGGAAUCACUGGGCUUAAAGCGUGUGUAGGCGGACCGUUAAGUACCUUGUGAAAUCCCCCGGCUCAACCGGGGAACGGCUGGGUAUACUGGCGGUCUUGAGCCAUCCAGGGGCAGUCGGAACAGACGGUGGAGCGGUGAAAUGCGUAGAUAUCAGGAAGAACACCCGUGGCUAAGGCGGCUCUCUAGUACGGUACUGACGCUGAGACGCGAAAGCGUGGGGAGCGAACAGG